UACGGGGGGAGCAAGCGUUGUUCGGAUUUACUGGGCGUAAAGGGCGCGUAGGCGGCCACCGCAAGUCGGUUGUGAAAUCUCCGGGCUUAACCCGGAAAGGUCAACUGAUACUGCGGGGCUAGAGUGCAGAAGGGGCAACUGGAAUUCUCGGUGUAGCGGUGAAAUGCGUAGAUAUCGAGAGGAACACCUGCGGCGAAGGCGGGUUGCUGGGCUGACACUGACGCUGAGGCGCGAAAGCUAGGGGAGCGAACGGG
rnacentral:rRNA from 1 species